UACGGGGGGUGCAAGCGUUGUUCGGAAUUACUGGGCGUAAAGGGCUCGUAGGCGGCUAACUAAGUCAUACGUGAAAUCCCUCGGCUUAACCGGGGAACUGCGUGUGAUACUGGAUGGCUUGAGUUCGGGAGAGGGAUGCGGAAUUCCAGGUGUAGCGGUGAAAUGCGUAGAUAUCUGGAGGAACACCGGUGGCGAAGGCGGCAUCCUGGACCGACACUGACACUGAGGAGCGAAAGCCAGGGGAGCAAACGGG
rnacentral:rRNA from 1 species